rfam:Oryza sativa (indica cultivar-group) chromosome 6, whole genome shotgun sequence.
UUUAAGUGUAACUUUCCGUGCCCAACUUUAAUCAUCCAUCUUAUUUAAAAAAAAUUUAUAGUUAGUAUUUUUGUUGUUAUGAGAUAAUAAAAUAUGAAUAGUACUUUAUAUGUGACUUAUGUUUUUCUAAAUUUUUUUAAAAAAAAUUAAAUAAGACGGACGGUCAAAGUUAUACACGGAAAAUAAUUAUGGAUAAACUUAAA